GAUGAACGCUGGCGGCGCGCCUAACACAUGCAAGUCGAACGGCACCCCACCUCGGUGGGAAGCGAGUGGCGAACGGCUGAGUAACACGUGGAGAACCCGCCCCCUCCUCCGGGAUAGCCUCGGGAAACCGUGGGUAAUACCGGAUGACGCCCGGACGACGCAUGUCGCCCGGGCCAAAGCCCAGACGGGAGGGGAUGGCUCCGCGGCCCAUCAGGUAGACGGCGGGGUGAAGGCCCACCGUGCCGACGACGGGUAGCCGGGUUGAGAGACCGACCGGCCAGAUUGGGAYUGAGACACGGCCCAGACUCCUACGGGAGGCAGCAGUGGGGAAUCUUGCGCAAUGGGGGGAACCCUGACGCAGYGACGCCGCGUGCGGGACGAAGGCCCUCGGGUCG
rnacentral:rRNA from 1 species